AUGAGAAUAUAAUGCCUUCAAAUAUUUUUAAAAUAUCUGUACAACUAAAGCAUCUCACUGCACUAAAGGAAGACAUGCCAACAGGGUUUAAGGAUGUUAUUUUAUCAUUUUGUUGUCAGUGCUGGAGAUGGAAACCAGGUCCUUGCUUGCUCAAGCUGUGCAAAUAUUCUACCCCCAAGCUACCUAUGCUGUCCAGCCUUACCUUUAGUGUUAUAUUUAGUACACCUCAAUGAACCUCACACUUUUCUCAGUUGUUCUCCACAGUAAUAACACCACACAUGUGCUGCAGAUCUCCCUGUGGCUCUAAGGUUAUAGUUACUGCUCUCUGCAGCAUUGUUACGAGUCAAAACUACCAGUCCAUGAAAUUAAAGAAAUUGGGUCAGAAACAAGUAUGCAGCAAAAUCAGUUUGUUUUCAAAAUCCUUUAAAAAAAUAUUACCAUUAAAUACAAGAAUACUUGAUUAAAUGUAGCAUUUCUAGUAAGCCUCACUUUAAUAUAACUAUCACUAAACUAAAAUUGUGUGCAAUUUUAGAAUUAAUCACCCUGAUUGUGGUUCAGCUAAAAAGAGUCUGAUCAGAACAAACUGACUUUGCCAUACAUUUGUUGAGUGUCAACAUUGUUUUCUCAAAAAAAAAAAAUCACUAAUUUUAUUUCAUGAGUCUAGAUUAUACUAUAAAGCUACAAAAAUACCCUUGAAUUUGAAAGCUUUACUGUAUCCAAUUAUCCCUCCUGAAGGACAACAGAUUACAAGAAAUUAGCUUGGUAUUUAUUGAUUUGUUUGUUUGUUUAAUUUUCUUGGCCCUGGGUUUGACCUCAGGGCCUUGCACUUGCCUAGCUUGCUUGCUUGGCACUCCACCACUUGAGAUAUGCCUCUAGCUCAGCAUUUAGUUGGCUAUUUUGAAGAAUCUUGUAGAGCCUCUAGACUGUCUUUGAACAGUGAUCCUCUUGAUCUCAGCCCUGUGAGUAGCUAGGGUUAAAGGCCUGAGUCACAUCUACAAGAAGAAAUGAGGUCUUUAAAUCAAUCACAGUAUCUAAUCUCCUGAAGUCAGAGGUGCUAGCCUUUUGCCACUACCCUCACCAGGUUUACUUCUUUUUUUAUUUUGUUCCUUGCAAAUAGGGGAAGGGGUUCACUAAGCUGAUUAUGUAUAACUAGCAUAAACUAACAGAACUGCAACAAAAACUCCAACCAUAUCUAGUCUUACUAACUUCAUCCAAGAGGAUAAAAAUCCCAUUUAGAUAGUUAUGGCUGUAAAAUUCAUGCUUAUUUGCAUAUAACUCCUGAGGACAUCACUGAGUUUCAGAAGGAUAAUUAUGAACUUAUUUUAGUUUCAAAAUAUUACAAGUUAACAAAUCAGUGCAAUAGCCAUGCAAUGUUGAAAAUGAUGGCGUUUAUGAAGAACAGUGUUUAACUCAAGAUACCACUAAAGAAAUCAAGCAACAAACACCUACAAUAGCCCAAUACUUUAUAAGCAAAAAUAGAAGAGAGAUACAGUAAUUCCCCGGAGAGAUACAGUAAUCCCUUACCCUCAGUUUUUGCUUUCUUAGCUUUUAUUAUGCAUGUUCAACCAAAAAUAGUAAUGGGAAAAUUCCAGAAGUGACCAGUUCUUGAAUUUUAAGUUGUGUGCCAUUAUGAGUAGUACAGUGAAAUUUCAAAUUACCCUACACCAUGUCACCCAGGAUGUGAAUCACCCCUCAUUGAGAAGAUCACACACCUCGGGAAAGCCACUGGGAAGCCAUCAGCGCUAUCAGAUUAACUGCUGAGAUAUCAUAUGUGUUCAAGAAACCCUUAUUUUACUUACUAAGGGCUCUGGAGGAGAAAAAUGAUGCUAGCAAUUCUGGCCUGCAAAAGAAAAGCCAGGAAGUGCUUCCUUCAAGUGAAAAGCUGAAUAUUCUUGACCUUGAGUCAAGAACAAAUCAUAUGCUGAGGAUGCCAUCGCACAACCAUGGGAAGAAUUAAUCUUUUAUCUGUCAGAUUAUAAAGAAGUAAAUGCUAGUUUUGUUGUUUGCACAUACAACAACAAAAACUAAGGCAUUUAGUAGAGGUUUUUUUGUUUUUGUUGUUGUUUUUUUAAGACAGAAAAAGCACUGAAUGUGUGACUAUAGUAUGUCCAACCACAAGAUCUUAGAACUUAUCCUCCAGGAAGAGAUGGCUAGAGAAUCAGAGGAGGGCUUUAAUUAUUUUAUGCUGCAUUUCCUAGCCAAUCUUUAAAUAAUUAGGAUGAUUAUAAAUACUCUAUUACCUUCAUCUUUUCAUUAUGUGUUCCUGACAUUUCUUUCUUGCUUUAAGAUUCACAAAAAAUGAUACCAUUCAAGGUAUAAAAGUGAGCCAAGAAGCCAGGUCCCCUGACAUUUCUUAGGAUAGGAAGAUGGGGUAGAAUCUCAGAGGAUUGUGUCUUGUAUGCCCAGAAAUGGAAAUGGAAAAUCUACAUAAAACAUCUCUCUCAAAAGCAUUCUUAGUUUGGCCUGAUCAAUCUGAUAUUCUGCUCUCAGAUAGUAUAGCCAGCCACACACACCCCACUAACAGAAUGGCAUGCAAAUUUUUUAUUUUGGGGGGUUCUUAUUUGUAAUUUUUAA